GACGAACGCUGGCGGCGUGCUUAACACAUGCAAGUCGAACGGAAAGGCCCUGCUUUUGUGGGGUGCUCGAGUGGCGAACGGGUGAGCAACGCGUGAGUAACCUGCCCUUGACUUUGGGAUAACUUCAGGAAACUGGGGCUAAUACCGGAUAGGAGCUCCUGCUGCAUGGUGGGGGUUGGAAAGUUUCGGCGGUUGGGGAUGGACUCGCGGCUUAUCAGCUUGUUGGUGGGGUAGUGGCUUACCAAGGCUUUGACGGGUAGCCGGCCUGAGAGGGUGACCGGCCACAUUGGGACUGAGAUACGGCCCAGACUCCUACGGGAGGCAGCAGUGGGGAAUAUUGCACAAUGGGCGGAAGCCUGAUGCAGCAACGCCGCGUGCGGGAUGACGGCCUUCGGGUUGUAAACCGCUUUCGCCUGUGACGAAGCGUGAGUGACGGUAAUGGGUAAAGAAGCACCGGCUAACUACGUG
rnacentral:rRNA from 1 species